GUAAAUGCCAUUAUAAGUUUACUGUUUCUUCUAUCACAUCCUUCUUGAAAACAUUGCAGGAAACAUCUGCUAAAUCACAACAAUUUAACAUACAGUUUCAUUCAUUCUUCCAAGCAUACAAUAUAAGUGAGAAACCAAGACCUUGUAAUUGGUAGUCUCUGAAUCGCUGGGAGUAAGAGCAAGUCAAUACAGAGGGUUCAAAAACUGAUUGGCUUUUCCAUAAUUUUUCUUCAGAUAGGCAAGAUUGGAACAUACCGCAUUGCCCAUACCAUUGCCAAAUAACCAGUUAUGGACAUCCCAAAACACUUCAACUGGGAGCCCAUCCACCAAUAUGGUGUGAUUGCCUCGAAACUUCCACUUCAGUCUCUUGACCUGCAUUACCAUCUUACUAUCAAUUCGGAUCACAAGACAAGGGUCCUUAAGAUCAACGGUAUCGCAUUCGAUUGUGACAUUGUGCAUCUGCCCCUUAUCACAGAACUGAGCUUUUGCACCAUAGAACUUCUUCCCAAAAAUGUGCUCUUUCUUAGCGAUAAAAAUGGCAUUACAAUGUAUCGAAGCACUGUCAAUUUUCUUGUAUGCUUCCUUCUUCAUAUCCCCAAGAAGUAACACCAUUUCUUGGUUAAAUGCAAUAGCCAAAUAAAAUCCUUCCAGCGGUUCUGGCCCAGAACCAAAUCUGGCAUUAGAUAGGUCCCAAUAUAUAUCAAUUUUACUAGAAUCUACCUCUAAAUUCCUGCACCCUUUUCUUUUAGAAAACAACCAUGGUUUUAUAUCAACUUUACAGAGACAAUGAUUCGUUGAAUCAUCGAUUGCGACACUAAGACCUUGACCCAUAAGAUUCUU
rnacentral:misc_RNA from 1 species